ACUCAUUUUAGCAGAGGUUCCAUGGUGUUUUCCAUGAGAGUCAUCUCUGGGCAAACAAUGUACAACGGAGUAAGUGUACUCACACCACCCUGUUCCUCCCACUGAAUGCGGCUAAAAAACCUGGGCAGAAUAAGUGGAGCAUCUGAGGACUCUGAAAAGUAAAUAAUAGCAGGCAGAUUGGAGAUGAAGACCAAAAUGGAGUGGAUACAUGAUCCAGGACUGGCCAGAAUUCUAC
rnacentral:lncRNA from 1 species